rnacentral:rRNA from 1 species
UACGUAGGGACCGAGCGUUGUCCGGAAUCAUUGGGCGUAAAGAGCGUGUAGGCGGCUUGUUAAGUCUUGCGUGAAAUCUCGGGGCUCAACCCCGAGCGGUCGUGAGAAACUGGCAGGCUAGAGUGCGGGAGAGGAGAGUGGAAUUCCUGGUGUAGCGGUGGAAUGCGCAGAUAUCAGGAAGAACACCCGUGGCGAAGGCGGCUCUCUGGAACGCAACUGACGCUGAGACGCGAAAAGCGUGGGGAGCGAACAGG